GGAUAUAGCUCAGUUGGUAGAGUGUUUGCCUCACACGCACAAGGCCCUGGGUUCAAUCCCCAGCACCA
rnacentral:tRNA from 1 species